UAUGCGGCUGCGGCUGCGGCUGAGUCUGCGGCUGCGGCUGAGUCUGCGGCUGCAAAACGAACAACAACCAAAGGAAUAGACGCAGCCGCAGCCGCAGACUCAGCCGCAGCCGCAGCCGCAGGAACA
rnacentral:pre_miRNA from 1 species